GUGCCAGCCGCCGCGGUAAUACGGAGGGAGCUAGCGUUGUUCGGAAUUACUGGGCGUAAAGCGCGCGUAGGCGGUCCAUCAAGUCAGAGGUGAAAGCCCGGGGCUCAACCCCGGAACUGCCUUUGAAACUGGCGGACUAGAAUCUUGGAGAGGCGAGUGGAAUUCCGAGUGUAGAGGUGAAAUUCGUAGAUAUUCGGAAGAACACCAGUGGCGAAGGCGACUCGCUGGACAAGUAUUGACGCUGAGGUGCGAAAGCGUGGGGAGCAAACAGGAUUAGAUACCCCGGUAGUCC
rnacentral:rRNA from 1 species